rnacentral:rRNA from 1 species
AACGAACGCUGGCGGCAGGCUUAACACAUGCAAGUCGAGCGCCCCGCAAGGGGUGCGGCCGACGGGUGAGUAACGCGUGGGAACGUACCUUUUGGUUCGGAACAACUCCGGGAAACUGGAGCUAAUACCGGAUAAGCCCUAACGGGGAAAGAUUUAUCGCCGAAAGAUCGGCCCGCGUCUGAUUAGCUAGUUGGUGAGGUAACGGCGCACCAAGGCGACGAUCAGUAGCUGGUCUGAGAGGAUGAUCAGCCACACUGGGACUGAGACACGGCCCAGACUCCUACGGGAGGCAGCAGUGGGGAAUAUUGGACAAUGGGCGCAAGCCUGAUCCAGCCAUGCCGCGUGAGUGAUGAAGGCCUUAGGGUUGUAAAGCUCUUUUGUCCGGGAAGAUAAUGACUGUACCGGAAGAAUAAGCCCCGGCUAACUUCGUG